UCUUGACUCAAAAUAUAUUGUUGCAUCCUGUAAAUUUGAGGUUGAGUGUACAGCUGACUUUCAGUCAACAACUAUGCUUUUGCUACAAUAAAUUAUAUUUUUUUAAGAAAAAGUUUAGGUAGGAACAACACGAAGCCGCUCUAUGGUGAACAAAUACAUAUGUAUAAAACGUACACACGAUAUAUAUAUUAGAGUUUAUGUUAAAUGGAAAUUCGUUUCUGAUUUUUAUUAUGCCACCAACAUGCCUAGGAAAAAUAAUAGUCCUAUGCAGACAAGAUACUAUGUGCCAUAGAUAUAGCCUGCAAUCUUGUGCACUUGAAUUAGCAAACUCCGAGUCUCAAGAUAAUGCGAGUCUAUGCUUACGUAUAGAACUUGUGCAUCAAUAUAACAUGAGCACGUUUCAGAUUCAUACAUGUACUCAUGCUUUCCAAUUAACCAUCCCAACUAAACCCCCAAGAAAUUGGUCAUUUUGUCAACUUUGCUCCUUAUUCGCAGAAAGUGACAACUAAAG
rnacentral:lncRNA from 1 species